GCGUCGAGCAAUGCUAAAACUAUUCUAACUCUUUUAGAACUCAAUUCUAACCUUUCCAACAUUGUUGGAAUGUUAAUUGAACUUUGCCCAACUACUUCUCUCAACGCACUUUGGUCAAUUUGACCAAAACUAAUCUAACAUGAUGAGGAUUCCGUUAAUUUCUCAAAGAUCAUGAGAGACGCCAAAACUCGCGAAGCUUCCAAUCUCCGCUCGCCUCAAAUUGCCCAGGGACACCACUUGGCCCGUCUCACGCCAAUCUAAAUGAAGAUCGCCUACGCAGUGCUAUCGCUUUCUAAAACGCGACAACUUUAUAAAUCCUCGACCUUCUAGGUCGAACACGAAACACUUAAUACCGACUCAAAUCGGGCGAAAGUCACGCAAGGGCGUCUAUUCUCAUCACUCGACUUCAUGUUGUGUGCACCCAACAUGAACACCCUCUGUUGAGAAUAAACCUCACCUUGAGUCUACCUCUAACAUCCGUUUUAGAGGUUUAUGACACAACCCAAUCAAUUAACCUUUCGCCAAAAGAAACAAGUCCUCGUCUCUCACGAGCCUUAAUCUCCUAUGGUUUACUAUCCUAGGGUCUCCUAGGUCCAACUAAACCAUUUUCUAUUAUUCUUUUAUGUUCUCUUUAUGCUUCUUUUAUUCUCUGAUACCAUCUUAUCUGUCACGCCCCGCGACCGCCCGCCUAUUUGGCCGCGUCGCGGCGCCGCCGACAGAUCGCCGAACGGACAGGGUUUCCCCUGUACCGCGGACAGAGUCUCCCCUGUACGUUCAAGGCAUAGCAAUCA
rnacentral:lncRNA from 1 species